UAAGCGAAGUGUGAAAUCGUGUGGCUCAACCAUACGGCUAUGCUUUGAACUGGCAAGCUAGAGAAUGAGAGAGGUAACUGGAAUUCCAAGUGUAGGAGUGAAAUCCGUAGAUAUUUGGAGGAACACCGAUGGCGUAGGCAGGUUACUGGCUCAUUUCUGACGCUCAGGCACGAAAGCGUGGGAGCAAACGGGAUUAGAUACCCCGGUAGUCCACGCCGUAAACGAUGGAUGCUA
rnacentral:rRNA from 1 species